rnacentral:rRNA from 1 species
GAUGAACGCUGACAGAAUGCUUAACACAUGCAAGUCUACCAAGAAUCACUUCGGUGAGGAAUGGUGGCGGACGGGUGAGUAACGCGUAAAUAAUCUGCCCUUUAGACUGGGAUAUCCUUUGGAAACGAAGGUUAAUACCGGAUAUUAUGAGAUGGACGCAUGUUCAACUUAUGAAAGCUAAAUGCACUAGAGGAGGAGUUUGCGUCCCAUUAGCUAGUUGGUGAGGUAAAGCUCACCAAGGCCACGAUGGGUAGCCGGCCUGAGAGGGUGAACGGCCACAAGGGAACUGAGACACGGUCCUUACUCCUACGGGAGGCAGCAGUGGGGAAUAUUGGACAAUGGACCAAAAGUCUGAUCCAGCAAUUCUGUGUGCACGAUGAAGGUCUUCGGAUUGUAAAGUGCUUUCAGUAGGGAAGAAAAAAAUGACGGUACCUACAGAAGAAGCGACGGCUAAAUAUGUGCCAGCAGCCGCAGUAA